AUUGAACGCUGGCGGCAGGCCUAACACAUGCAAGUCGAACGAGUGGCGGACGGGUGAGGAAUGUCUGGGAAACUGCCUGCUGGAGGGGGAUAACUACUGGAAACGGUAGCUAAUACCGCAUACCAUCAGAUGUUCCCAGGUGGGAUUAGCUGGUGGGUGGGGGAAAGUCUCACCAAGGCGGCGAUCCCUAGCUGGUCGUAGAGGAUGACCGGCCACACUGGAACUGGGAACCGGUCCAGACUCCUACGGGAGGAAGCAGUGGGGAAUAUUGGACAAUGGGCGCAAGCCUGAUGCAGCCAUGCCGCGUGUAUGAAGAAGGCCUUCGGGUUGUAAAGUACUUUCAGCGGGGAGGCGUUACCCGCACAAGAAGCACCGGCUAACUCCGUGCCAGCAGCCGCGGUAAUAC
rnacentral:rRNA from 1 species